GAUGAACGCUGGCGGUAUGCUUAACACAUGCAAGUCGAACGGUACCUUCGGGUAUAGUGGCGGACGGGUGAGUAACGCGUGAGAAUCUAUCUUCAGGUCGGGGACAACAGUUAGAAAUGACUGCUAAUACCGGAUGUGCCGAAAGGUAAAAGAUUUAUUGCCUGAAAAAGAGCUCGCGUCAGAUUAGCUAGUAGGUGGUGUAAGAGACUACCUAGGCUUCGAUCUGUAGCUGGUCUGAGAGGACGAUCAGCCACACUGGAACUGAGACACGGUCCAGACACUCCCGGGGGGGGGAAGUGGGGGAUAUUCCCCAAAGGGCGCAAGACCCACACGGCAAAACCCCGCGAGGGGCACAAGGUCUUGGGGCGUAUAACCCUUUUUUCACAAGAAAGUUAGAGGGGACUUUUGGGAAAAACACCGGGUAAAACUGU
rnacentral:rRNA from 1 species